rnacentral:rRNA from 1 species
CUAACCUGCUAAAUAGUACAGUUGCAAGUUUAUACGUGUUCUCCUGUUUCCGUCACUCGUUGGUGGGCAGGGGCCGUAUAAGCAGGUGAGACUUCUUAGAGGGACUGGCACUCUUAUACAAAGUGCACGAGGAAGAGCAAUAACAGGUCUGUGAUGCCCUAAGAUGUCCGGGGCCGCACGCGUGCUACAAUGACGAUGCAAGUGAGCAUGAUUUGCUUGUCCGAAAGGAUUGGCAAACCUGUUUAAUCAUCGUCGUGACUGGGACUGGGGUUUGCAAUUAUCCCCCAUGAACGAGGAAUUCCUAGUAGCACAAGUCAUAAGCUUGUGCAGAUUACUCCCUGCCCUUUGUACACACCGCCCGUCGCUACUACCGAUUGAAUGGUUUAGCAAGGUUAUUGGAACUGAUCUCAGUGGUGCAUGCUGCUUUGGUCGGAGAAGAUGACCGAACUUGAUCAUUUAGAGGAAGCAAAACUCGUAACAAGGUUUCCGUAGAUGAACCUGCGGAAGGAUCAUUACCAUACAGUUAAUAACUGACACUGCACUCUGGGUGCGCUCCUGCUGUCGUCACUUGUUUCACCCCAAGUGCCGGGGGCGAAGUGUGCCUGGGGGAGGUGCUAGUUCUCUGGUUCUUGGGCUCGUCCUGUGUGAACCGCGUGCGAUACAGAAGGCACGUCCAUUCUUCACGGAUGGCGUGUCCACUUUACGGCUGGUUAAUGGCACUUAGUGUGCAGCCUCGUGUGCUUAGUGGUGACGGUACACAAUGGGGGCUGUAUGCUUAUUGUGUGACAGUGCCCCAGUCAGAUCACCACGUUUCGUCUUGUGUAUUAUCAUAUUAUCCCGUCGCGUCCGGGGCAAUGGAUGCGCUAGUGUGUUCGAUGGCCGCGAGGUCGUCGUUCNGGCACUAGACCGGCAUGUAA